ensembl:lncRNA
GGUGCCCCUAGGCGGAAAAGUGGAGCUCCUGGAAGGACGCUGGCCUCUCUUGCUGGCUCUCCUUUGGUCCACAGCAGAGAAGCACAUGGCCCCUGUUUGCUUUUGCCUGCAGUCUACAGAGCAAACUCUGCUAGUGACCAGGUUGUUCUUGCAGAGGAGGACCUAGGCAGUCACCAACAUGUACAGGCUGGAAAGAAAGCUGUAACAACUUAAAAAUAUUCUGGACCUGCAAAGGAACCAGAUUUCGGAGUGAAAUCCUAGAUCAAAAAAGAAAAAAAGUUAAAUGAGCUUGAACAAAUGACAGCUAAGCUUUUCUUGUCAUUGACUGCUCCUGACUGCUGGGAAAAGAGCUGGAAGUUCUGAAAUAUCAAAGCAAAAUCUGUUCCUGCAAGAUUUCCAUCAGAGAGAGGAUUAACAGUCAACAAAUGAACAUCAGUGCAGUAUCUUUUGAAGUUUCUCCAUCUCUAUUGGUGAUGCUAUAGUGACUCUGUUGUUCCUGGUCUUCUCUUUCUAAAGUCUAUUUGCUUUUUUUUUUUUUUUUUUUCUUUUGGGACAUUUAAUGUAAGUUACUGUAUUUGAAUUUCUGACUCAUCCUCUGUUGUCUGGUUCUGCGUACUGAAAAGUAUCAUUAUAUUCAAAGAGAACUGGUAACUGAAAUUAUAUAGGCUGUCAAUGUUCUCAUUCAGACUUCUCUUCAGCAUUAGAAUUCUGUGUGGUGUUGCAUGCUGUUAGUUGAAGAUUUAUUCUUGAACUUUUUAUUUUCACAAUUCCUUAUUAUCUAAUAACUAUACAGAAAUGUUAAUAGUCUUAUGACUAAACAGGUCAAUAUUCAUAUGAAUAUAUAUUUUUACUUGUUUAAUCUCAAUGAAAUAGCCUAGUAGAAAUUUAACACAUUUAAAACAUUCAAAUAAAAGCUUUUUUUACCCAAUCACAACAACAGCAACAACAAAAACAACAACAAAAACUCUAAUGCUCUUUUUUUGCACUGAAAAAAUCACCAACAUUAGAGUAACUUACAAUGAUAAAUCUCAAAAGACUUAUAUUCUUUAACUCAAGUUGAGACCAUUUGCUUAUUAUACAGGUUCACUGACCCAAAUCUUCUUCAUUCUACAUUAGAGAACUUGACCUGAGAUUUUCUUCUCCCUUCUCCCAGAUAUCACAUAAUGUUAUUUUUGCAUUUUCUGUUGCUGUAAAUAUUUAAUUAGCUACACAAAGUGAAACUAUUCCAAGAAGGAUGACAAAUUCACACUUAAAGUCAUUUGCAAUUGAAAGCUUUUGUAUGCACUGUAAAAUAAAGAUUCUGAACCCAUUUUUUCUUUUAUUUGAAGAAAGAUCUUUGACUUAUGAUUUCUUAACUAUUAAGAGGAAAUCUGUGCUUUGUCUAGCCUCUGCUCUGUUUUCUAGAAAAAUCAGAAAAGUCCUAUUUGUGUCUAGUGUUUAUGGACAUUACCUGCCCAUUUCUUGCUCCUGGCUGAGUUCCAUACAGCCACUAGAAAUCUGAUUUAGCAGGCAAUAUAAGCAUGCUGAAUCACACUAAGCAGUUCAAAAUAAUGUGAUUAAUCUGUUUGUUUCAUUUACCGCAUUCAGAUUUAUGUAGAAACUGGUGAGAGAAGCCCAGGAUCUUAUCAUCUAACAAUUAAACUAAUCUUGCAGUAUAUUUUAUAAUGUGACUCUAGGAUAAACCCCUACCAAAAUUGGCUUU